rnacentral:rRNA from 1 species
UUGAAAGGGAAACGAUUGAAGUCAGUCGUACCAGCGGGAAAUCAACCUUUCGAGUGGGGGUUUUGGAGUUUUGAAGAGUGUCAAAACCUUUGAGAUUUCAAAAUUUUCGCUCCUUUGGUGUACUUUCUCGUGGGUAGGUUAACAUCGAUUUCGAUCAUCAUAAAAGGAUUGGAGGAAUGUAGCUUCGAUCUUGUAUUGAAGUGUUAUAGCCUUUGGUAAAUGUGAUGAUUGGGAUCGAGGAUUGCAACGAAUACCCUUUUGGGCUAUCCGCCUGAUNUCUGGUACGUGGCCUUGGCAUCGAAAGCUUGCUUAUGGUAUCAAGGUAUUACGGUCAAAAGGUUAGAACGGAUUACAUUCGUUAAGGAUGUUGACGUA